rnacentral:tRNA from 1 species
GGAUUAUGGCUCAGUGGUAGAGCGCUCACCUAGCACAGGUGGGACCCGGGUUCAAUCCUCCGUGCCA